AUGAGCGUUGCUUCACUUCCAGAAUGUGUCAAAAACUUUUUCCCAACUGAACAACUCGAGUUCUCCUCAUCAAUUACCGCUGACGAGAAGCCAGUUCUUCAUGAGGUAUUCCAAAAGCAUUCAUGUUUCUCACAAUGUGGUGAAAUGAUUGACGAGGUCUCGAAAAAGCAUCCAGAAUUGGGAAAACGGUUGGCAACUGUGUUGGAGGGGAACAAGAAACGUUUGGAUGGUUUGAGCCCGGCUGCUGUUGAGUAUGCCAAGAAGGUAAGGAGUUUGGCGGAAAAUGCUGCUACAAUGCGAAUAAAACGUUUCUACAAUUCAGAAAUUUUGAAAUUUGAGAAAAACCUCAUUUUAGAAAUCAUUUUUAGUACUAGUAAUAAAUACUAAAAAUCUUGCAGCUCAUACACAUGGUAACCACCACCUUGUGCUCCUUAACCGUCGGAAAACCAAUUGAUGAUGCAGAUGCAAAACGUCUUCACCAGGAAUUCCAAAGCCUAUCUUCAGAAGAUCAGGCUGCGCUGAGAAAGAAUAAUCCGGAUAUUAAAUUUUGA